GUAUUGUACGGCUGGGUGCUGUGGGAGUGCAGGUGAGGGCAGGGAAAUGUGGGGAAUCAUGGGUACCUAGCAGCUUAGGAGAUAGAUAGGGACAAUCGUGCACAGCUCUGUGGGGACUGGCACUUGCAGAGGAUGCAGAGGCAGUGGAGCCUGUGGAGUUGGGUGGAGCACAAGAGCACACAUCGGGCAGUGUAGGGAUGUGUACAAUUCAUGGGAUGCCACAGGGAGAUGGAGCAUUCAUAGGGAUGAGCUGACAAAGGGGCUGUACGCAAUGUGGGAAAUCAGUGCUGCUACGCCUGUAUGUGAGAGAGAGGGUUUGAGACGGAGUGGAAAGAAGAGACAUGAUGAAGGACCAAGGUGGGGAAGACAAAGCUGCCCUGCUGCCUGCUGGUCUUCCCAAAAUGAACAGCAAUCUGGUGCUAGACGAAGGCGACUUAGCUGAGGCUGCAGCACCCCCUGAAGCUGGGGAACCCCCAAGCCAGUCCAGGACUUGCAGCUCUGAGCCAUCUGCUGAUGGCAAUGCUGAGAGCCUGACUAGUGAGGUGCAGGAUAAAGAUGAGGUUGGUCUUGUGGCAGAAGAGACAAAAGCC